CUAGCUUACGUGGAGGCGCUGGUGGGAUACUACCCUAGCUGUGUUGGCUUUCUAACCCGCACCACUUAUCGUGGUGGGAGACAGUGUCAGGCGGGCAGUUUGACUGGGGCGGUCGCCUCCUAAAAGGUAACGGAGGCGCUCAAAGGUUCCCUCAGAAUGGUUGGAAAUCAUUCAUAGAGUGUAAAGGCAUAAGGGAGCUUGACUGCGAGACCUACAAGUCGAGCAGGGUCGAAAGACGGACUUAGUGAUCCGGUGGUUCCGCAUGGAAGGGCCAUCGCUCAACGGAUA
rnacentral:rRNA from 2 species